UACCGGGACAGCACACGUACAUCUAGCCGACGUCGGCCCAAGACUGAAACGUCGGCCUCAUUACCUAAAACAUCUAAUAAGCGUCGGCCAGGCAUAGGCCGAUAUAAUUCGGUCAGUGCUCUGUUUCUCAGCUCAUCAAGCGUCGGCUCUGAGUCGGCUCACGACCGGAGGCCGAUGCCGCGCCUUUCUGUUUGCUGGAGCCCAGUUAUUCAUCUCUUAGCAACCUACAGAGAGAAGAGACUCAUCCCGCGACAUCUGGGGCUUUCAGGAGGACAGAAAGAAACUACAGAACAGAUGGGAAGCUCCAAGAUUUCAACAUUUCUGAAGGCACUGCUGACGGAGAAGUAGAAAAUACAGGCAUUUAUGCAGCAGCAAAAGAGGCAUUCUCUGCUCUAGGACCACAGUGCAAAAAUUGACUGAACAAAACUGUAGCCAUGGGGGCAGAUGGGGCAGCUGUAAAUCUUGGACACAAGCGGGGGGUAAUAUCCCUUGUCCAGGCAGAGGCAGGGAACUACAUUGUUCCUUUCCAUUGUAUGCCUCACA